CUUGCAGUUAACGCCGCGGCCCUGGGUAGUACCCAUUUUGGUUGUCUACCAUCUGUAUGUGGCAGAUUUUCUUCUUUAACCAUCUUAUUUACUUUGCCUUCCUAGUUGUCUGCAAAGGAGCUGUAUAAGGUCCAUUAUUAAGGCAAAUUAAAAAAAACUGACAUGGACCUUAUACAGCUUUAACUAGAGGAAAAAAGGCUGGCCAUUAAAAAGGCCAAACUUGAAAUAGUACUACUGGAGCAUCGCCUUAAGGUGAGAAUCAUAUGUGAACAUGAAUCUGUUAUUUAUUUAUUUUUUUGUGUGUGUAUAAAGCAAUAAAUACAAAUCUGCCAUGUCUCUUUUAUUUCAGGAUAUGAAGAAAUAGAACACAUUAACUGUCACUCACAUUUUUGAACAUAGACUUGAAAGUGCACUUUCCAAACUAAAAUGUUUUUAAUUCAUGAACAAAAACAUUUUAUAAAAUGAUAUUGAUGUACCAUUAUUGGUAUUUAUAAAAUAAUAUUGAUGGUAAUGCAAUGUCUGAUUUAAAAAUGGGUUUUAAAGGAUGAAUUUUGAGAUUAAGUUUUCAGUUGAUAUAUAAUUUCAGAUUAUUUCUAAAGUGUGACAGAAAAAGGCAACAAAGAAGACUUUUUUUUUGACAAGGUCAGAACUCCUGUUAUGAUGUAGAUUUUUGAGGGUGCACUCUUGUCAUAAAUUAAUCUAUUACUUUUCCUACAUAAUUUUUAACAAAAAAACAUUUGUAAAAUAUCUAUUUAGGAGUCUUAGACCUUUCCAACGAUAUAGUAAACGUAAAGUGAUUUUGACAAAUAAUGUCUCUAAGCAUUCUGCCAUCUCUGUGGUAAAUGCUAGAUUCAAUGGGUGUUGUUCUAGGUCAUCUUCAUCAGGACAGGGUGGAUGCCUUUCUCCUCUCAUUGUGGCAAUGUUGUGAAGUACCACACAAGCAACUGUGAUGUCACAUGCCCUAUUUGGAGUGAACCUGAGCCCACGCAGACACUGAAAC
ensembl:lncRNA